UACGUAGGUGGCAAGCGUUGUCCGGAUUUACUGGGCGUAAAGAGCGCGCAGGCGGUCGUUCAAGUCGCGUGUGAAAGCCCCCGGCUCAACUGGGGAGGGUCACGCGAUACUGAUCGACUCGAAGGCAGGAGAGGGUAGUGGAAUUCCCGGUGUAGUGGUGAAAUGCGUAGAUAUCGGGAGGAACACCGGUGGCGAAGGCGGCAUCCUGGACCGGCAUUGACGCUGAGGCGCGAAAGCGUGGGGAGCGAACAGG
rnacentral:rRNA from 1 species